AUAAUAUGUAUAUAGAAUUUAGAUUAUUAGGCCCACAAAAUCAAAUCAGCAAAAUCCUACUCUAAUUGCUCUCUCUUUUUUUUACUUGCUCGUAGAAUCAAUUUCCCUAAUUUUUUUAAUAUUAUAAUAUCGUAUUUUAUGUAUUAAUUUUGUAUGUUUAACUAUUAAAUAUUUUUUAUAUCAAAUUUUAAAUAGUAUUUUAUAAAAAUUAAAUUAUAAAUUGUACGAUAUUAAGAAUUU
rnacentral:lncRNA from 1 species